GUUAUCUUGUAUUAUUAUAGGUAUGUGAAUUAUAAAUUUUUAUUUUUAAUAUUUAUAUUUCACAUUGGGUAUAUCAUGUAUGAUUCUUUUAAAAUUUAAAGAUUUGGGUAUGGUAGCGUAUGCCGACUAUCGGUCCAUUACGACGUCAGUUGCUCGAGAUGCCAUCAGAGCAGCAUGAUCCUGAUAUUCCAUUCAGACUAGACGGAUCAUUGAGAUAUAGGUAUAAAAAUAUUAUUUUUAUUAUUUGAAACUUACUGUUUUAAAUUCGAUAAAAUUUAUUUAACAUGAGUAGAUUGUGAAACAGAUGGAACGUUGC
rnacentral:lncRNA from 1 species